rnacentral:rRNA from 1 species
UACGGGGGGGCAAGCGUUGUUCGGAAUUACUGGGCGUAAAGGGCUCGUAGGCGGCCAACUAAGUCGGAUGUGAAAUCCCCAAGCUUAACUUGGGAACUGCAUCCGAUACUGGAUGGCUCGAAUCCGGGAGGGGGAUGCAGAAUUCCAGGUGUAGCGGUGAAAUGCGUAGAUAUACUGGAGGAACACCGGUGGCGAAGGCGGCAUCCUGGACCGGUAGUUGACGCUG